rnacentral:rRNA from 1 species
AUAUCUUGACGUUAGCUGCAGAAGAAGCACCGGCUAACUCCGUGCCAGCAGCCGCGGUAAUACGGAGGGUGCGAGCGUUAAUCGGAAUUACUGGGCGUAAAGCGCAUGCAGGUGGUUUGUUAAGUCAGAUGUGAAAGCCCGGGGCUCAACCUCGGAACCGCAUUUGAAACUGGCAGGCUAGAGUACUGUAGAGGGGGGUAGAAUUUCAGGUGUAGCGGUGAAAUGCGUAGAGAUCUGAAGGAAUACCAGUGGCGAAGGCGGCCCCCUGGACAGAUACUGACACUCAGAUGCGAAAGCGUGGGGAGCAAACAGGAUUAGAUACCCUGGUAGUCCACGCCGUAAACGAUGUCUACUUGGAGGUUGUGGCCUUGAGCCGUGGCUUUCGGAGCUAACGCGUUAAGUAGACCGCCUGGGGAGUACGGUCGCAAGAUUAAAACUCAAAUGAAUUGACGGGGGCCCGCACAAGCGGUGGAGCAUGUGGUUUAAUUCGAUGCAACGCGAAGAACCUUACCUACUCUUGACAUCCUCAGAAGAGACUGGAGACAGUCUUGUGCCUUCGGGAACUGAGAGACAGGUGCUGCAUGGCUGUCGUCAGCUCGUGUUGUGAAAUGUUGGGUUAAGUCCCGCAACGAGCGCAACCCUUAUCCUUGUUUGCCAGCGAGUAAUGUCGGGAACUCCAGGGAGACUGCCGGUGAUAAACCGGAGGAAGGUGGGGACGACGUCAAGUCAUCAUGGCCCUUACGAGUAGGGCUACACACGUGCUACAAUGGCGCAUACAGAGGGCGGCCAACCAGCGAUGGUGAGCGAAUCCCAAAAAGUGCGUCGUAGUCCGGAUUGGAGUCUGCAACUCGACUCCAUGAAGUCGGAAUCGCUAGUAAUCGUGGAUCAGAAUGCCACGGUGAAUACGUUCCCGGGCCUUGUACACACCGCCCGUCACACCAUGGGAGUGGGCUGCAAAAGAAGUAGGUAGUUUAACCUUCGGGGGGACGCUUACCACUUUGUGGUUCAUGACUGGGGUGAAGUCGUAACAAGGUAGCCCUAGGGGAACCUGGGGCUGGAUCACCUCCUUA